AGGGGAGAUGCCAUGAUCACUAAGGUGGUUCUCCUAGGGCGAGGCUCAUCCACUGUGCUCCGGGUGUGCUGACCCCUGCGAUUUCCCCAAAUGCGGGAAACCCAACU
rnacentral:snRNA from 1 species